rnacentral:rRNA from 1 species
CGAUAAGUAGUGUGAAUUGCAGAAUUCAGUGAAUCAUCGAAUCUUUGAACGCACAUUGCGCCCCUUGGUAUUCCAUGGGGCAUGCCUGUUCGAGCGUCAUUUGUACCUUCAAGCUCUGCUUGGUGUUGGGUGUUCGUCUCCUGUAGACUCGCCUUAAAACAAUUGGCAGCCGGCGUAUUGAUUUCGGAGCGCAGUACAUCUCGCGCUUUGCACUCAUAACGACGACAUCCAAAAGUACAUUUUUACACUCUUGACCUCGGAUCAGGUAGGGAUACCCGCUGAACUUAAGCAUAUCAAUAAGCGGAGGAAA